rnacentral:tRNA from 1 species
ACCUGGGUGGCUCAAUCGUUAAGCAUCUGACUUCAGCUCAGGUCAUGAUCUCAUGAUUCGUGAGUUCAAGCCCCACAUCGGGUA